rnacentral:rRNA from 1 species
UUUGGAGCUUGCUCCAUUGUUUUAGCGGCGGACGGGUGAGUAACACGUGGGCAACCUGCCCUGCAGAUCGGGAUAACUCCGGGAAACCGGUGCUAAUACCGAAUAGUUUGCGGCCUCUCCUGAGGCUGCACGGAAAGACGGUUUCGGCUGUCACUGCAGGAUGGGCCCGCGGCGCAUUAGCUAGUUGGUGGGGUAAUGGCCCACCAAGGCGACGAUGCGUAGCCGACCUGAGAGGGUGAUCGGCCACACUGGGACUGAGACACGGCCCAGACUCCUACGGGAGGCAGCAGUAGGGAAUCUUCCGCAAUGGACGAAAGUCUGACGGAGCAACGCCGCGUGAGUGACGAAGGUUUUCGGAUCGUAAAACUCUGUUGUGAGGGAAGAACAAGUACCAAGUAACUACUGGUACCUUGACGGUACCUCACCAGAAAGCCACGGCUAACUACGUGCCAGCAGCCGCGGUAAUACGUAGGUGGCAAGCGUUGUCCGGAAUUAUUGGGCGUAAAGCGCGCGCAGGCGGUCCCUUAAGUCUGAUGUGAAAGCCCACGGCUCAACCGUGGAGGGUCAUUGGAAACUGGGGGACUUGAGUGCAGAAGAGGAAAGUGGAAUUCCAUGUGUAGCGGUGAAAUGCGUAGAGAUGUGGAGGAACACCAGUGGCGAAGGCGACUUUCUGGUCUGUAACUGACGCUGAGGCGCGAAAGCGUGGGGAGC